GACGAACGCUGGCGGCGUGCUUAACACAUGCAAGUCGAACGGAAAGGCCCUGCUUGCAGGGUACUCGAGUGGCGAACGGGUGAGUAACACGUGGGUGAUCUGCCCUGCACUUCGGGAUAAGCCUGGGAAACUGGGUCUAAUACCGGAUAGGAGCCAUUUUUAGUGUGAUGGUUGGAAAGUUUUUUCGGUGUAGGAUGAGCUCGCGGCCUAUCAGCUUGUUGGUGGGGUAAUGGCCUACCAAGGCGGCGACGGGUAGCCGGCCUGAGAGGGUGGACGGCCACAUUGGGACUGAGAGACGGCCCAGACUCCUACGGGAGGAAGAAGUGGGGAAUAUUGCACAAUGGGCGCAAGCCUGAUGCAGCGACGCCGCGGGGGGGAUGACGGCCUUCGGGUUGUAAACUCCUUUCGCUAGGGACGAAGCUUUUUGUGACGGUACCUAGAUAAGAAGCACCGGCUAACUACGUG
rnacentral:rRNA from 1 species